rnacentral:tRNA from 1 species
GGGGAUUUAGCUCAACGGUAGAGCGCUUGCCUAGCAAGCGCAAGGCCCUGGGUUCGGUCCCCAGCUCCA